CACAAAAUGACCGCACUUGAGG
rnacentral:miRNA from 1 species